AUUUAACCCCUUAAGGACACAUGACGUGUGACAUGUCAUGAUUCCCUUUUAUUCCAGAAGUUUGGUCCUUAAGGGGUUAAUAAUCUUUUUUUAUUUUGUGCUCUCUGCUAUCGAUGUCUAUGUACAAAACAAUAAUUUACAAAAUAAUUCCCAGGAAUAAAUAUCGGAAUCAUAAACCCUCUAGUACAAAUUUUAUAACUAUAUGUUAAUAAAUAGACAGUUCAGUUAGUGCAUCAACUAUAGUUCAAACCUCAGGGCUGCAAAUUCUGUUCUUAACAGGGUCAACUCAGCCUUUCAUCCUUCUAAAGUUGAAAUAAGCAUCAUUAAAUUUGUUAAUAUUAACAUAUAUGCUUCAUGUCAUACUGGAAAAGGAGAGAAAAUAUAUUAUUCCUGAUAAAACUAUUUUUUAUUACGUGAGCCCCAUUUAAAAGUUUACAAAAUGCUUCACAACAUAUAUCUACUAGUUUUGUAUUCAGC